AGCAGCCGCGGUAAUUCCAGCUCCAAUAGCGUAUAUUAAAGUUGUUGCAGUUAAAAAGCUCGUAGUUGAAUUUCGGGAUCAAAGGAUCGGUCAUGCCUUGGUAUGUACUGGUUUUAUUGGUUCUCACCUUCUAAAGAACCAUAAUGUCAUUCAUUUGAUGUUAUGGGGAAUUAGGACUGUUACCUUGAAAAAUUAGAGUGUUUAAAGCAGGCUUACGCUUGAAUACAUUAGCAUGGAAUAAUGAAAUAGGACAUCAGAUUCUAUUUUGUUGGUUUCUAGGAUCGAUGUAAUGAUUAAUAGGGAUAGUUGGGGGCAUUAGUAUUCAAUUGUCAGAGGUGAAAUUCUUGGAUUUAUUGAAGACUAACUACUGCGAAAGCAUUUGCCAAGGAUGUUUUCAUUAAUCAAGAACGAAAGUUAGGGGAUCGAAGACGAUCAGAUACCGUCGUAGUCUUAAACCAUAAACUAUGCCGACUAGGGAUCGGAUGAUGUUAAUUUUAUAAUGACUCUA
rnacentral:misc_RNA from 1 species